rnacentral:rRNA from 1 species
ACGCUCGACACCUACGGGGGCAGCAGUCGGGAAUAUUGCGCAAUGGAGGAAACUCUGACGCAGUGACGCCGCGUGCAGGAAGAAGGUUUUCGGAUUGUAAACUGCUUUAGACAGGGAAGAAAGAAAUGACAGUACCUGUAGAAUAAGCUCCGGCUAACUACGUGCCAGCAGCCGCGGUAAUCUGAGCGGGCUGGCAAGGC